UAAGGUGAAUUUAAAUGAUAUCAUAUUAUAUGUUCUAUUUCUCCUCAUCCUAAAAUUCCAGGAGGUGUUAAGUUGCUGUGUCCCUGGGUAUCAGAUACCUACAGAUUUGCUUUAAGAAGAUGGCACUAAAAACUAUACUAUCAGGGCAAGAUUCAAACUCUAGAAGGAUAAGAAAUGAAGGAUGGGAAACUCCCAUGCAUCAGUGGUGUAACACACAGCCUGUGUCAUUUUCUUAGGGAUGCCUCCUCUUAACCCUCUAGACUCUUAAAUCUCCUUUAUAAGAGCUCAUAACUUCCUGUCAUUUCUCUUCCCUAGUAUACAUUAGAAUAUUGAUGAACAUUUUGAUUAGCAACAUAGUUCUAUGUUAUCCAGUCUGUUAAAAUUCAAUAUUUAUAAUUACCAAUAUUUAUCUGAGAAUAAGGCGACACGCUGACCCACCAAACCUCAGUGUAGACUAGAGCUAGGGCAGUUUUUCAGAGCUCGCCUAUCUUCCUGAAGACGGUAAUAUAAAGUGAUUUCACUUCAAGUAACUUCUAAAGCUCUCCAGAAAGGAAAUUACUGGCCUACUGUCUUCCCUACUUCUCCUUAGACCAAUAGUAAUGGAUGAUUAGAAUGCAAACAACUGUAACUGGCUCCUCACUCCUCGUGGGAUACAGUCAUACAGGUAAGUGAUGAUGGAAAGAAGAAACAGGUAGAAAGAGACAAUUCCUACUGUCACUCUCAGUUCCACAAGAACAGGAGAUGUGUGUGUCUGUGUGUGUUUUGUGUACGCCUCCAGGAAUAAAGCAAAUGUUUGUUGUAAAAAGCAUGUUCAAUAAAAGUUUUGGAAUGAAUUAAAGAAACAACUAUGAAAGAAUCCAUGAUGUCAUUGUUUAUAAGGGAAGUAAAAACUCCUCUGCGUAUUCGUUCCCUUUGAAACAGCCCUUGAUUGGAUGCUUGAGAGGUUAUUAACAAAAAAUACAUUUACAAUAUGCAUUGCCUUCCCCCAUUUGGUUUUUCUUUAAAGAAUUCUUUUAUUUAUUUGAAAGACAGAAUUACAGAGAGAAAUAGAGCCAGAGAGAGAGAGAGGUCUUCCAUCCGCUGGUUCACUCCCCAAAUGACCACAUUGGCCAGAGCUGAGCUGAUCCAAAGCCAGGAGCCAGGAGCUUCUCCCAGGUCUCCCACAUCAGCGUGGAAGCCCAAGGAUUUGGGCCAUCUUCUAUUGUUUUCCCAGGUCCUAGCAGAGAGCUUGAUAGGAAGUGGAGCAGCUGGGACUAGAACCAGUGUCCACAUGGGAUGCUGGCACUGCAGGCUUGAUCUUUAACUCAAUGUGCACAGUACCGCCCCCCCCCCAUUUGCUUUUUAAAAUUCAUAUUAACCUUUUAACAACCCUGAACAUAUUAACAUCAUGAACAUAUUCACCAGAAAUGUUUCUCUGGAGAUGCAUAUUUGAGACAUCAAACUCUCAGAAAAGGAUGAAAGAAUACAAAAAAUGAACAUACAAAAAAAUCUGGCUGAAGAGAGUAGAAAAAAACAAAGGAACAAAAAAGCAGCAAAUUUUUGCCAAAAGCCAACAGACAUAAAUAUUUUUAUAUCAUGGGUUUGAAUAUGGUUAUGGGUUUGUACCCUCAUAAUCAAAGUAUAAAUUCUUAAAUAACCAAUAAUUUUAUUUUGGCCCCAAACACAACUAUUCUAGACUUAACAAAUUCCAAUUAGUUUUCCCUGGUAUAUUUAUAACUAAUGAACGCAAUGAGAUUGACAAGUCAAAAAAUAGAUAUUUUCUGGACUAUCUACUAUUUUGAUGAUGGAUGAAUUUCAGCAGCUAUGCCUUCCACCAAGCCUUGGGAAGCAAUGCUCCUCUUGUCUCUGGAAGUAACAUUUGGAUUGGAGUUCCUUCCUGGAACUAGGCCAACAUCCCUGAUUUCUGGCCUUAAAACCUCACUAUAAAGUAAACUAUCACUUAACAUAACAAGCACUGUGAACGCAGAGGAUUCCUUUGGAAGCCCAUGUAAAACAGUGCAAUACAGAUAACCAACGUUCAACAAUUAUCUGUGGAGUAACUGGUUAAGUCAAUAAAUGAAUACGUUUACUCUGAGAGCACUUCUUAGUACCAGUUCCCACGAAUUUGGGUACUAACAUAGACUGAUCAGAUGAGGUGACUGAGGGCAAUGCUACUGGGGAGAGUCUAGAAGCUUCCAGUUGGGGCAGUUAGUUGCCCCACCAGCCAAGUGAUGUUCUGCCAAACCAAUCAAACAAAAAGCUUUAGAACGCGAGAACGUUGCUGAGCAGGCUUCCGCCAGGUAACCCUCACAUAACAGGACUCAGCGUUCCCAGGACUUAGUACUUCUUGGAACCCCAAAGACCUUGUCUCUCACAUUGUGGAUGAGAAGUUUCCUCGGAGUCGCGGCUGCAGCGGGAGCAGCAGAGACGGAACGUUGAUCUUACCCAGAAGGCUUUGCUCCCCUUGUGACUGAGACACCCUGGGAUCCAGAGGGGAAACCUACCCGCAGUGCUCAUUCUGUGGUCGUCACCAGUUGUUUCCACGGAACUGAAUAAAAACUCUACUCGGCAGAACGAAAAGCUUUCAGAAAAUCUGUCUUUUGUUAUCACACCCUAUGAGCUUCCAGUCCUCACUGAUAUUCGUACUUCCAAACCUUUUCCCCUUAAUGUGGAAGUCACACAUCUGGCUAGACGUGAAGAUGUUGUGUGGGGAGAGUUUCCUUACAGAAGUGGCAUUGCAUUUCUACAGACAUUUCGCACAUUCCUUUGUACACAUCCUUGGAAAAUUAUCUGAGAGACUAAGAGUAGAGUCAGAAAAGCCACCUUCUGGAACAUUAUAUUAAUCAUGGUAAAGAAAAAGUGAACAACAGAAGACCGUUUAUAUUUUGGCACAAAGUAGCAGAUGUUAUUUUUAUUCACAUUCCACAGCCAGAACCAUGGGAAAUGCAAUCAGACAAGGCACCCAAGAGGUGGAGAGCAGAAAAUCUUUAUCCCUGAUGGCUUCCUCUUUGAGAUCCUGUGACAUCCACAACUUACAGAAACUGUAUUCCAUGUCUUCCUUCCAGAUGCCAUCUUGGAGUGCCUGUGUCUCAGUCCAACUCUGCUCCUGCUAAUGAGCACCCUGGGAGGCAGCAAGUGAUGGAUCAAGUAGUUGUAUCCUUGCCACCCAUGUGAGAUCCCGGGACUGAAUUAUUGGCUUCUGGAUUCUGUCUGCCACAGCCCUGGCUGUUGCAGGUAUUUGGGGAGUAAAUGAGCAAAUGGGAGAUUUCUGACUUUCUGGCUCUCUGUCUUACAAAUCAAUAAAUUAAAUUUGAAAGUAAUUAAAAUAAACAUUCUUUUUCAUUUGCUGCUUUCUUUAAAAUAUUAAUAAAUUUAUAUUUUUCCCAAAAAGAUGAACAUACAACAGUUUGUUCCAUACCCCAAAACUUAUUUCACUCUUUUUAAACUGUUGUGAUUUUUCAAGGCCCAACGCAAAGCAAACCCAGUCAAGUAAAGAUAAUAUUUAUUAAAAAUUAUUGGAGACAAAGGUUGACUAUUUAUCUCCCAAGAAUAUGUCUGAUGGUGAGAGUCUCCCUCCUUCCUUAAAGUGGUGACCAUGGACUGGUUCUGUUCUGGAGGAAGUGGUGCUGGUUCCUGAAGCUGUCCAGGGGCACUGGGGGUCUGUGGGCCCCUCAGAUGUAGGUAGAAUGUCCUCCACAAGCAGGCUGCCAGCUGUGGCUAGAAAGCCUGUCUCCUGACCUGCUGACAUCUCCCCCACGGUAGCUUCUUGUGCUGCAUGUGUGACCUUGAGGUUUUAAAUCAUGCCUUCAAGUUAUUUGCAAUCUUCCACUCAGAGCUAGCAGAAGAGGGGGCCAAGCCUCUAAGAAGAAUCGGACUGUCUGUAAGAGACCUCCCCGCUAUCUCCAUGAGCCCCAAGCCAGUUAACAUACUGUAUGUAAAACCCUUGUUCAAUUGGAACCCCCAUAGAAUGACCCAAUGAAAAACCAGUAAUGCCUUAAAAAAUCCUGGGCUCUUCCUGAAAGCCAGUGCCAGAUUUGAACACUCUGCCUGGUCUCCUCUCAGACCAAAUGCUUUUCUGUAGCUUGCCAAUCAAAUUCUGUUUCUUUGCAAAUUGCUUACUUUUUUU